ACUCUGAGUUAUUCAUCCUCUGGAUCCUGGCCCUGUUCUGGCUCUCCAGUUACGUCCUGACAGUGGAGGAAAGAGUCGAAGUCUAGUUGCCCAUUAGACUGUGUCUCUCUCAUGGAAGAGGACCCAAGCCCUUUUGAAGGAAUACAUCUGGAACCUGACCUCCCUAAAGCGCCUGCAACAGCCAUCAAGAAUCCUGGUCUGGACCACAGGAAAAGUCCCUAGUUGGUUUCCCAUCUUGCUUUCCCAGCUCUUCUCCCCAGCUUGCCACAGCAGGGAUUCUAAAGUAUAAACUGAGAGGGACCAUCCAGACAGCUCAGUAGAUAAUGAUCUUCGUCUGACAACGGGGUCCACCUCCCAGAAACCACAUGACAGAAGGAGAAAAUGUCUCCUGAAAUGUCUCUGACUUCUAACAUGCAUACUGUGGCACACAUGUACAUACACACAGACAGAAUAACAAAUAAAAAUUAAAUAAGUAAAGUA